rnacentral:rRNA from 1 species
AUUGAACGCUGGCGGCAGGCCUAACACAUGCAAGUCGAACGGUAGCGCAGAGGAGCUUGCUCCUUGGGUGACGAGUGGCGGACGGGUGAGUAAUGUCUGGGAAACUGCCCGAUGGAGGGGGAUAACUACUGGAAACGGUAGCUAAUACCGCAUAACGUCGCAAGACCAAAGAGGGGGACCUUCGGGCCUCUUGCCAUCGGAUGUGCCCAGAUGGGAUUAGCUAGUAGGUGGGGUAACGGCUCACCUAGGCGACGAUCCCUAGCUGGUCUGAGAGGAUGACCAGCCACACUGGAACUGAGACACGGUCCAGACUCCUACGGGAGGCAGCAGUGGGGAAUAUUGCACAAUGGGCGCAAGCCUGAUGCAGCCAUGCCGCGUGUAUGAAGAAGGCCUUCGGGUUGUAAAGUACUUUCAGCGAGGAGGAAGGCGUUGUGGUUAAUAACCGCAACGAUUGACGUUACUCGCAGAAGAAGCACCGGCUAACUCCGUGCCAGCCGCCGCGGUAAAAGGG